UACUUCCAGCUACCAGUGACCUCCCAGGCACCACAGUAAUAAACUGCCUCAUCUUCAACUUGGAUGUUGGAGAUGGUUAAAUAGCCAUUGUUCCCAGAGGCUGAACCAGUGAACCGAUCUGGGAUCCCUUCUCCCCUGUCACUGGUGCCAUACCACACAAAGCGAGGAGCCUGUCCAGGUUUCUGUUGAUACCAGCCAAAGCUGAGCCAGGUACCACCACUACUUCUAGAGCAGGAGAGCUUCAUGGUUUGGCCCAGGGACACAGACUCCGAGGCUGGCUGAGUUACAGUCUGUGAAAUGACACCUUUGCAAAAAGAAAAAGAAAAAAAACUAUGCAUCAUUUUCUGUGUUUAUAACGAUCAGAAAAGCCUUGUGUUUCUACGAUAAAUUACACGAGGUAAAUGGGUUUGUUCCUUGACCCAUUAUCUCAGCACAAGCCGACCUAAUCCCAUUAACCACCCAGAACCAGACCUGAGCAGUAGCUGAGAAGGGCGAAGAGAAGAAGGAGCCCGGCCAUGGUGAAGUCAAAGGGAAGGAGAGUCCCAGAGACAAACAGCUCUUCAAUCUAGAUGCACCUUCCUCCUCCUCCUCCUCUCUUAAAUCCCUUGGAAAUGAGAAAUGAUCUCUCAUGCAAAUAGGUCUGCAUACAUUGGCUUUGUUAGAGGCGUCAUGCGGAAAUGUGAUGAAUGUCUGACAAAUGACCACAGAAAUUUUUUUGCCUGAAGUGGGUGAUUUAAAACAAGGACAUAAUUUAUUUGCCUUGUGAACGACAGGGGUGAGGAACCUCAGGACUCUGGGCCAAACUUCUGGUAGUCCCUCUGAUCCUUGGCCUUUUCCCAGGACAUGCCCCCUUUCCCAAGGACACGCCUCUCACUGACAUGGCUCUGUGCCCUCCUCCAUUGCUUUGGUCUGCCUAGACUGCAUCCAUGAAUGGUGCUUCUGUUUCUGGCCUGCGUGGGCAGAGGAUGGAGAGACAUGUGCAUCUGACUUUGGCAUGGAUGCAAAUUGGUCUAGUGGGCAAUGAUAAGAGUCUCACAUUGAUUGCUCUGUCCUCCCCCUUUAUGACUCCUGUAUGCUUACCAUUUGUAGGUGGCCCCUAAAAGGGGGAAUGUGGCCCUUGUGCUGAAUACCUUUUCCCCCAGCCCUGGUCUGGAGGGAGGAUGUGUGUGUUUCAUUUAUGUCCUGAAGUUCCACAGGAAAACCUGAAGGCAAAUAUAUCUUCAUUCUCCAGGCUCCUCCUUGCGCUGCAGCAAAAGUGCUCCCCAGAAUUGCAAAAGCAGCCAGAGGGAUGGGCCAGUACAGCAUCCCUUGUUCACCCCCUGACUCACAAGGGAGAGGUGGAUUAACACCAGUUUCAUGUGUUCUCAAAGCCAGCUCCAUCUGGGUGUAGAUUUUGAGAGACCUUUUCAUAAAAUCAGCCCAGUUUAGCAAAAUGAAGACAGUAACACCACCUUCCAGACCUAUCCAAACCUCUCUCUGUUCUCCAUCAAGGGAAGCAAAGGGCACCAUAAAAUUCGAAGGAGAUAUUCCUGGCAGGAAAAGCACUUUGGGAAGGCUCAGAGCAGGGCUUCUUAGGGGUGUAGUAGCCUGGGAAGGGGGCUUAAUUUGAGGAGAGUCCUGAGGGCCAGAGAGACAGGCCUGGAGGGCCACACCUUGCCCAUGAGCCUGAGAUUUGUGUCCUGUCCUACAGAUAGAGAAAGAAGGGCUGAAGCCAUUAAACACCAAUGAUCAGAUCUGAGAGAGGAAUACAAAGUCAGAACCAGGCCCCCUUCAAGAUGACUGCUUAGCUCAUUCGUCAUUUGAGUGUAUUCUGAGGUAGAUCAAGUUGUGUGCAGACCCUUGAGUUUCAUGCAUGAGGAACACCCAGAUAAAAUGCUCAUCUGUUUAACUUUUUACUGCAGGUGCAAAUCUGUCAAAUGUAGAGAAACAGAACUAACAUCUCCCCCUUGUGUCUAAAGCUCUGAUAUGUACAAAGGUGGUUCAGAGGAGGCCAUGGUGAUGGGAUGAUGGUUCCCCACCUGCAUGCUGCUUUGUCAGGGGCCUGACUAGAUGAUAACCCAGCUGGCCCAUGGGUGGGUUGACGGUGUGGAUGGAAAGGUGAGGACAGAGCUCCCCUACUCCUGGCAAAACACAAAGAUAAAGUAGAGAAUCCUGGAGGGAAUCUUGUUUCCAUCCAGAUGUUGUUAGACUGCAACACCCUCCACCCCUGAGCUUUCAGAUGGUUGUUUAUUGAAUCUAGGAUUUUCAUCAAACCUAUAAUUUCAGCAGAACUCAUCUAAAGUACACAUUUGAAUUCAUGUCAUUCCAAAUGAAAUUUAGAUAAAUGAUUUCCAGUUUUCAAGGAACCACAUCCUGCCCUCUUUGGGUCAUUUUGCUUUUUGCUGAUAUCUGUUGGCACAAUCUUAUUCACAACACAGUCCACACCCACAGCCUUUUCCUUAGGGGAUGCCAGCAAGGCUGCACAUGACAGGUGAGUCUUGCUUUGCCCAAGACUGCCUGUCAAAAAAUGUGGAGGCCAUUCAUGGGUGGAGAUCAUUUCCUUAAUAGCAUCAAUGUGACUAAAUAACUUGAUAUCAUCACACAUUCCUGUCAAAAACAAAGACCGCUCAAGUAUGACUAGUCAUAUUUUUGGGUUCUUCUUGUUUUCUCACUGUAAGGAGGUAGAGGAAAGGUUUUUUCUCAGUAUCCAAACAGGUUGUACCACGGUAAAACGUUUUACUGUUGCCUUCCCAAGCAAGACAGUAAUAAACUGCCUCAUCUUCAGCCUGGGUGUUGGAGAUGGUUAAAUAGUAAGUGUUCCCAGAGGAAGAGCCAGUGAACCGAUCUGGGAUCCCUUCUCCCCGGGUGCUGGUACCAUAGAUGACAAAGCGAGGAGCCUGUCCAGGUUUCUGUUGAUACCAGCCAAAGCUUUCCCAGCUACCACUACUUCUAGAGCAGGAGAGUUUCAUAGUUUGGCCCAGGGACACAGACUCCGAG